GGGGGGGGGAUUUCUAUUAUUAGAAGAUCCUUUAAACUGGGUCUUUGAACUUAAACUUAAACAUUCCUCAAGCAUCCAAAGUCCAAAAUGUCUUUUUUUGUGAACGAAUGAAGAACUGCUGUGUUAUACUUUGGUCUCUCAACUCCAUGUUUGUGACUUUCUGCAGUGGGGUCCACUGUUCGUGAUCCGAUCCCACUCUACUAGGCUCUCCGCUCUCCGAGGAGUCUGUUAAGGGAAUGUGUGGCCAGCCACAAAUGACGGAUGCUGUUUCUUUCUCUGGCCCACUUUUUAUUAUUUGAUAAAUAGCUAUAAAUUAAAAUACUCCUUCCAGAGGAUUUUAAUACUAACAGUCUCUACACAAAUGCUGGUUUCUAUUUAUUUUUCUCUCACCUUCUCUCUCAUCUGAGAUAUUUGGUAGUAUGGUAUAGUGUUUGGAAAAGUAGUGACUUUGGGGGACUUGAGUUCAAGUCCUAACUCUGGCAUGCAGUAACUGUGCGAGAUUGUGCUCACCACAACCUCCUUUGGCCUUAAUAGCUUCAUUUCUAAAAUUUUCUAAAAAUUCUAAAAAGUGCUGCCUUUGUGAUGGCAAAGCCACUCCCCCCAACGACUCCCUCCACCAUUUGUUUGAGCGGGUUUUUUUACUUUAUCAGCACUUUCAUUCUGCCCCUUACUGUUGACUGCCAGUGGGAACAAAAUUGGGGGCAGCUAACUCCUGAAAAGCAUGUUUUCUUACUUUCUAACCUUCAUUUCCAUGAACAAUAGCUAAUUGUGCCCUUUCAGUAUUCAUUGCUAUUCCACUUGGGAAUGUUAUAAAGCAUAAUAACCAAAUAGAUUCUCAGAGCUGAGGAGCACCUAACAUGGGAGUAUAGGAAGGAAGGAAGGGAUAGAGUAAACUUCAUGCAUUAGCUUUAAGAGGAAAAGAGGAGAAUUUGGAUACAAACCCUGGGAGAAGAUUCUGACAAGGAGAGAAGGAUUGUGGGAGUUUUUACUGGCAUUAACUCUGCCUCCUAUUGUGGCUGAUCUGGAAGGAGGAUCUUUUCUCUGCCUUGGAGUGGACUGUUUUUUUUUUCCCUGAAUUACAGCGAUCAUCUCCCUGAGAUCCAUCUGUCAGAAAUCCACUAGGUGAAGGUAAACCCCAGGGUUCAAUCAUCUGGGACCCCAGGCUUUAGAUAAGGGCUCAAAUACACCUGUGAGUCCUUCCUCAUUAUUCUUUUUUAAAAUCGGGACUAAUUAGUAUAGCAGGAUAGCCAGAUAGAUGGGUUUUCUGGCUCUUAGAGAGGAGUUUAGAAUAGCUUGAGUGAAUUCUCAAGAAGAAGAAAUAAUUCGCUACGAGAUGAAAGAGGGUGAAUGGAGAUUAGAUCUCUCGUUUUAGGAACCUACCUAUCAUUUCCCCUCCAUUCCGAUUAUAAAAAACGAACUUUGUUUCUAGAGCCCAAGGCAUGUGGUGAUUUCCUGGCCCCAAAGAGGUCCCUAGGUUAUCGUAUCCCAUGCAUCCAGGAAGGAUUUUCAUUUCAGGAGAACUCUCUUCUCUGUUUUGCUCUCCACCAUUCCUUCAAUGCACCCCUCUGUCUCUUUCUCAUCCGAUUCUUCCUUUACUUGUCUUUCUGUCUCUGUCAAUCUCUGUCUCUCUCUUAUGAGAAAAUUUAAACAAAAAUAUAAUGGGAAAACGUAGGGUUUAAAAAAAAAACUGCCCCCUCUUUAUGGCCCUUAUCAAGGAAAGUCAAGGAAAGGAAAAGAUAGGAAAGGCAACAUUCUCAAUCAUUUUCUGUGCAAUAAAUUCCUCUAACGCUCUAUGGACGUUUAUGGAGCCUUUUUCAGAAUAAUAAUUUUAAACGUAUGAAACGAUUUCAAAGGAAAUAAAGUGCAGUGAAAUAUUGGUAUGGAUGUCUUAAAGUUCACAGAGCUCAGCUUAGCAAGACUGUUGUAGUGGUAGAUUUCCUUAGCGCAGGCAUUCUUACCUGGAUCUCUGGAUAUUUUGACUAAGAGCAGGUAAAAUUCCAUCUAUUUUUUUACUAAUUUCUGACUGAAAUGUGACGUUUCAAUGAUCGGUUUUUCAAUAUCGAUUGUGCUGUAGAAUGGGUUCAUACCUGAUUCCCAAAGGGGCCCAAGGCCUGAAGGGAGGGGAGGGAAAGACUAAGCCUCUGCUAUUCUCCGCUUCUCCCCUGUCUGCAGAGAGAUGGAGCUGACCCGGAAAGUCGGCCUCAGACUCCUGACCGCAUUCCCUCUCUCUCUCGGCUUUCAUUGAACUAGCAAUCUCGCUCUCGGGGCCUGUGACUCAUCGCAGUGAGCUUUCUCUAGAGACUUCUCUAAGCCCGAGGAGAAAAAGAGAGCUCCCUCCCUUUAACGUCGCCGCAGGCCCCUCUGAAUUCACAGCCUCCACAAGCCCAAUAAUUCUGCCCUGGCCAGCAGCGGGCCCUAGUAGUAGUCCCAGAGCCCACUUUCCCCCCGGAUGGACGGGCUCAGGCCCCAGUCAAGCUCCCCAUUCGAUCUCCUGCUCCGCGGGCAGUGAAUCCGGUCGUUGGCCAGAGGGCCGUCCCUUCACUUCUCCAAGGUCCGCCAACAUUUCCGGUGCUCGAAGGCGCUGUCCGCUUGUCCCUCCCCCUUUGGGCCGCCCCGCCCACUAGACCAUGCCCGCCGCCUCCUCCCUGUUGAACAAAAUCCGUGCCCUGAAGCAAGCCCUGGCGUUCAUUUUUGCGUUUAGUCUCCUCACUGUCCCCCCGAAAUGGAGGAGGCUGGCGGGACACAGCUCUGGCUCCGGGACACAUUAUGACCGUCGGCCGGCGGCGUCUGCUUAAAAAGCCCUGGAAAGACGCAAGCAGGCGCGCUCACCAAGCGGAGCUACCCAGCCGGCACACAUUGAAGUGCAUCCAUACAUUUAGGGAAUAUUUAUUAAGCAUCUUCAGGAUGCCUGACACUGCACUAAUUCCUAAAGUGACAAGGAAAAGUGAUAGGGGAAAAGGUCCUCAAGAUGAGUGUGCACAGAGACACUUGCGCGUGAAGGAGAUUUAAGUGGAAGAGUCGGUGCACAGAGACAGUCCCACCCUCUUGGCGUUGGAAGCCUGGGUCCAGUGGCACGAAAAGUCGUUACACCUGGAGACUUCCUCAGCUGCAUUGGAUGGCCAUGUUGUCUUUUGUGCUCCAACACGCCCUGAUCACUCCACAGUGCUUUGCUGCGUCGCCCUCUCAGCCGUUGAACCUUCUUGUUGGUUUCUUCCACCUGUUCGGCCGAAGCAGUCUUCACAUGCUGGGUGAGCAAAGCCCUGGUUCACCAGGGGUCGACGACCCGAUGGCUACCCUCACAAGGUUUAGCCGGCCUGUCGAAGCCGUUGCCCGGGGUGUGGCCGCUGCCGCAUGCUAGCAGCUACUGGGAGCCACAAGUGAGAGCUGGGUGUCAGGUUAGGGUCAGAGGCUGGAGAGCUGCCCUCGGAGGGCACGACAAGCCCUCCAUACCAGAGAUACUACCCCUCCCUGAGCACCCCCUACACCCCAGUUAGUUGUAGUACUAAAGAGUAAAAAGCCAAAUGAUUUUUUAAAAAGAAACAUGUUUAAAGGGUGAUAAAAGAAAUAAUAAUGUUAUAUACAUAGUAUUAUAUUUAAUGAAUAUUGACAUAGGCAGAAUAUAAAAGAAAACAGGAGAAAUUAAAAUGAAUCUAGGAUACAUUAGAAUAGCAAUUUAAAUAGAAAGAGAAGCAUUAUUACUCCAUUGUACUAAUAGCUCUCUGAAGAUGUUGAUUAAUUUUAGGUGGCUAUUAACUUGUUCAGUCCAACAGUAGAGCAGUUAUAAAACUAUUGCCUUCUGUAUUUAUUAAGCAAUUUUUUUCAAGUUUACAAAUGUAUUCUAGUUAUUUACAAGAAGGAAUUUCUGCAUUGGACAAAUGUAUAACAAAUUCAGAAAAAUUUGGUAUUUAGUAUUUUAGUAUUUUAGUAUUCUCUGGAAUUUAUUUUUGAAAACCACAAAUAAAAACAUCAUGAAACUAACAUAAUAGUUUUUAGAUCAAAACUUUAAUGAAGGGGAUUAGCUUAGCAGAAAAGGGGUACUGCUAGGCAGAAUGAUGUUUUAUAACUGUCUCUUUAAAACAAAAUUUUUUAAUAUUCAUACCUUUUUCUAUUUCCUCCACAUAGAACCCUCCCUUAUAAAAAUUAGUAGUCAAGAAAAAAUGUAACUCACCUCUGAAAAUGUAUACAUUAAUCAAUAGCUGUACCCCACCUCUUUAUUCUCAAGAAGAAAAAUGGGGGACAAUGUAUUACCUCAGAUCUCUGAAGACAUUAUUGAACACUGUGUCAAAGUUCAUGGAUUUUAUCUGUAAGGUUGUGGAGACAUCUAAUCCCACCACUUCCUUUUAUAGCUGAGGAAAUUGAAGGUCCCAGAAGUUAAGUGACUGGACUAAGGCCACAUAAGUAAUAGAACAUGAACAUAAAAAUUGGCAUUUCUAUUUCAAAUAUACCACUCCACCUGAAAAUAGAAAAAAAAAAGAAAAUAUUUUCUUUUACAUAUUGUUAUGGUCAUGGUAUAAAUUUUUCUCCUGGUUCUGUUUACUUCACUCUAAGUCCAUUCAUAUAAAAUUACCCAUUUUCUCUGAAAUCUUGAUAUUUGUUAUUCCUUAGGUUGCAUUUCACUAUAUUAAUUUACCACAGUUUAUUAAACCGUUCUUCAAAUAAUGGAAUUCCCUUUUAUUUCUAGAUAUUCAAAACUAAAAGAGUACAGACAUUCCCAUAUAUCUGUGGCCUUACACUCUGUCAUUUACCUCUUUGGAAAAAUCUACUUGGUAGUAGUAUUGCUCUAAUAAUUGCUCAACACUUGUUUUUAAAGAGGAUCUAAAUAAAAAAGGCACACAUAUUUUGUAUAGAGUAGUGAACUCAGAGUGAAGGAAAUAUGAGUCUUAAUAAUAUCUCAAAUAUUUACUAGUUGCAUUACCCUGGACAAAUCAUUUAAUCUUUCUGUGACUCACGGACUUUUUUGUCUGAAAAAAUGACUCUUUUGACUCUAAAUCUUUGAUCUUCAGAUUUGAAAAUGUUAUCAGUGAGUGUAUAAUCUUGAAUCCCUGCACUUUGAGUAAAUUACUAAAAUAAAAAGUAAUUCAUUUUUUUUA